rnacentral:rRNA from 1 species
UACGGGGGGGGCAAGCGUUGUUCGGAAUUACUGGGCGUAAAGGGCUCGUAGGCGGCCAACUAAGUCAGACGUGAAAUCCCUCGGCUUAACCGGGGAACUGCGUCUGAUACUGGAUGGCUUGAGUUUGGGAGAGGGAUGCGGAAUUCCAGGUGUAGCGGUGAAAUGCGUAGAUAUCUGGAGGAACACCGGUGGCGAAGGCGGGUCUCUGGGCCGGUACUGACGCUGAGGAGCGAAAGCGUGGGGAGCGAACAGG